AAGAUUAUACUUUCAGGGAUCAUUUCUAUAGUUCGUUACUAGAAAAGUCUCUCUGAAUGUGCACAGCUCCGGAAACCACGAGGAGAAGGCGCAGCGUUCUCUGUUCUCUCCUGAGCGUGAAGCGGCUCUUGGUGUUGCUUUACUGCAAUUGCCAUUUACCACUGAUGAUCGUUCUUCUCUUCCUUUGGGAGAGUAAGAGGGAGAGAAGAAAAAAAAAG